rnacentral:rRNA from 1 species
UACGGAAGGCAGCAGUGGGGAAGUCUUAGACAAUGGGGCGGAACCCUACGAUCUAGCCACUGCCGCCGUGAGUGAUGAAGGACCGUUACGGGUUUGGUUAAAGACUCUUUCUAGCUGGAAGGAAUAAUAGACGGUACCGACGCAGAAGAAAGCCCCGGCCGUAACUACCGUGCCACGCAGCCGCCGGUAAUACGGAGGGGCGUAGCGUUGUUCGGAAUUACUGGGCGUAAAGCGCACGUAGGCGGACUGGAAAGUCAGAGGUGAAAUCCCAGGGCUCAACCUUGGAACUGCCUUUUGAAACUAUCAGUCUGGAGUUCGAGAGAGGUGAGUGGAAUUCCGAGUGUAGAGGUGAAAUUCGUAGAUAUUCGGAGGAACACCAGUGGCGAAGGCGGCUCACUGGCUCGAUACUGACGCUGAGGGUGCGAAAGCU